rnacentral:rRNA from 1 species
UGAGAGGGCGACCGGCCACACUGGGACUGAGACACGGCCCAGACUCCUACGGGAGGCAGCAGUGGGGAAUAUUGCACAAUGGGCGCAAGCCUGAUGCAGCGACGCCGCGUGAGGGAUGACGGCCUUCGGGUUGUAAACCUCUUUCAGCAGGGAAGAAGCGCGAGUGACGGUACCUGCAGAAGAAGCACCGGCUAACUACGUG